GACGAACGCUGGCGGCGUGCCUAAUACAUGCAAGUAGAACGCUGAAGAGAGGAGCUUGCUCUUCUUGGAUGAGUUGCGAACGGGUGAGUAACGCGUAGGUAACCUGCCUUGUAGCGGGGGAUAACUAUUGGAAACGAUAGCUAAUACCGCAUAACAAUGGAUGACACAUGUCAUUUAUUUGAAAGGGGCAAUUGCUCCACUACAAGAUGGACCUGCGUUGUAUUAGCUAGUAGGUGAGGUAAUGGCUCACCUAGGCGACGAUACAUAGCCGACCUGAGAGGGUGAUCGGCCACACUGGGACUGGGACACGGCCCAGACUCCUAAGGGAGGCAGCAGUAGGGAAUCUUCGGCAAUGGGGGCAACCCUGACCGAGCAACGCCGCGUGAGUGAAGAAGGGUUUCGGAUCGUAAAGCUCUGUUGUAAGUCAAGAACGGGUGUGAGAGUGGAAAGUUCACACUGUGACGGUAGCUUACCAGAAAGGGACGGCUAACUACGUG
rnacentral:rRNA from 1 species